UGUCCGUGGUCAUCCACGGCACGACCGCCGCCGGACACGGCACGCCCACCGCCGGCCACGGCACGCCCACCGCCGGCCACGGCACGCCCACCGCCGGCCACGGCACGACCGCCGCCGGCCACGGCACGACCGCCGCUGGCUCGCAGAGCAGAGGGGACGAGUGGAGAGGAGAAAGAGAAUGUGAGCUGAGGAGAUACGUGCAGAUGCUGUUAAGCCGUUCCCCGGGAAUUCCUCUGAGUGGGGAGUUUCAGGAGUCUGGAUCCGCUCUGGGCAGGGACCCCGCCGAGAAGUGUCCACCUCAUCAACCUCCUCCUCCCCCGAGUUCUGUCGGGGAGGUCAUCUGCUCACCCAUUGUUCCUCGCACUUGCAAGGUAUGCGUCGCACUGCUGCUGCUGGAGCAGAGGUCGCAACCGGAUACCCGAUACCCGUACCCUACCCGAUACCCGGCUACCCGUACCCGGCCGGGUACGGGUACGGGUACCCAUUUGCGACCCUGGUGCGGCCGGGUACGGGUAGGCCGUGAGUCACUGGUGAGUCACCGUUUGUCACUCAUUUCCCAACGUCUUGUCUCUUCUCACAAUUCAAGUUUCUAGAAUCAACCCACCCGCGCCCGCAACAUGGCUUCAUCCCAGAGGUCGCAAUCAGGUACCCGAUACCCGUACCCUACCCGUACUCGGCCGGGUAGGGUACGGGUACGGCCGGGUACCCGUUUGCGACCCUGGUGCGGCUGGGUACGGGUAAGGAAUCAAAACCCGUUUGCGACCUCUGUGCUAGAGUAGAUUUGAAGUUUUUGUGACUUCAAGGAUUCAUACUCUUUAUAGUAAUAGGUUUUUACCCUUUCAACUGGUACAAAAACUGACACCUUUAUACAAGGGAUCAUGUUUGCAAUAACCACAACACAAGCAGUCAAAAUGCAAA